rnacentral:rRNA from 1 species
CGGUAAUUCCAGCUCCAGUAGCGUAUAUUAAACUUGUUGCGGUUAGAACGCUCGUAGUCCGAUGUAUGUUCAGAUUUAGCGAUCCUCCCUAGCGGUGCGUACUCGAAUUGAUUUGACCAUAAUUUCUGAGUUUCGCAUCUGUAGUUUAUUCUAUGAUGCGAUAUCAGAACUUUUACUUCGAGAAAAUGAGAGUGCUUCGAGCAAAUGGUCGUCCUGAAUACACUAGCAUGGAAUAAUCUUAAGAGACAUCGUUCUAAAUUGGUUGGAAUUUGGAUAAUUGUAAUGACGGUGAGGAUAGUUGGGGGCAUUCAUAUUUAAUUGCUAGAGGUGAAAUUCUUGGAUUUUUUAAAGACGGACUUCUGCGAAUGCAUCUGCCAGAGAUGUUUUUCUCGAUCAAGAACGAAAGUUAGGGGAUCGAAGACGAUCAGAUACCGUCCUAGUCUUAACCAUAAACUAUGCCAUCUAGAAAUUGGGCUCAUUAAGACUUGAUAUCCUCAGCAUCUUCAGAGAAAUCAAAGAUCUCAGGCUCCGGGGGGAGUAUGGUCACAAGACUGAAACUUAAAGGAAUUGACGGAAGGGCACCACCAGGAAUGGAGCUUGCGGCUUAAUUUGACUCAACACGGGGCAACUCACCAGGACAAGAUACAGAGAGGAUUGACAGAUUGAUAGAUCUUUCUUAAUUCUAUGGGUGGUGGUGCAUGGCCGUUCUUAGUUGGUGAAGUGAUUUGUCUGGUUAAUUUCGUUAACGAACGAGACCUUGGUUUGCUAAGUAGUAUCGAAAACAAUUUCAAUUGAAUAUAUUCUUCUUAGAAGGACUUUGUGUUUUCAGCACGAGGAAGUGUGAGGCAAUAACAGGUCUGUGAUGCCCUUAGAUGUCCUGGGCCGCACGCGCGCUACACUGGUGGAUUCAGCGAGUUCUCAUCCUGUUCAGAGAAGGAUAGGAAUUCCAAGUAACGUUUGCCGUGAUGGGGAUAGAUCCUUGCAAUUGUCAAUCUUAAACGGGGAAUUCCUAGUAAGUGCAAAUCAUCAGCUCGUGCUGAAUAUGUCCCUGCCCUUUGUACACACCGCCCGUCGCUCCUACCGAUUGGGUGCUCCGGUGAAUACUGUUGACUGUCUGGAUACGAUAUAGUGUUCUAGUGGAAGAUGUAGUGAAUCUUAUCACUUAGAGGAAGGAGAAGUCGUAACAAGGUAACC